GAUGAACGCUGGCGGCGUGCCUAAUACAUGCAAGUCGAGCGAACGGACGAGAAGCUUGCUUUUCUGAUGUUAGCGGCGGACGGGUGAGUAACACGUGGAUAACCUACCUAUAAGACUGGGAUAACUUCGGGAAACCGGAGCUAAUACCGGAUAAUAUUUUGAACCGCAUGGUUCAAAAGUGAAAGACGGUCUUGCUGUCACUUAUAGAUGGAUCCGCGCUGCAUUAGCUAGUUGGUAAGGUAACGGCUUACCAAGGCAACGAUGCAUAGCCGACCGGAGAGGGUGAUCGGCCACACUGGAACUGAGACACGGUCCAGACUCCUACGGGAGGCAGCAGUAGGGAAUCUUCCGCAAUGGGCGAAAGCCUGACGGAGCAACGCCGCGUGAGUGAUGAAGGUCUUCGGAUCGUAAAACUCUGUUAUUAGGGAAGAACAUAUGUGUAAGUAACUGUGCACAUCUUGACGGUACCUAAUCAGAAAGCCACGGCUAACUACGUG
rnacentral:rRNA from 1 species